AGAAGCUGGUGUUCCAAGAAGCUAGAAUGACAGACUCAUUUCUCGCUCCUUUCUCCUUCCCUCUUGAAGGAGAAGCCUUGAGUUGUGCAUCUUCUCUUGAUUUUACUGAGGUAUGGUAGCUAUAGCAAACUGCCUACUGCCUUUUUUUUUAACUUUUGCUCUCAGUGGCUCCAAGGCAUCGAAACUAUGCUAGUUCCAUGAGUGCUCCAAGUGAGGCAAGACAGAGACUAGUCCCUUGGGCAGCCCUCUGAAGAGCCAGAAUGCCAACACAUGCUCCACUCUUCUCCCUCCUUGCCAAGGAAGAAGUCUUAACUUGUGCACUUCCUCCCCCAAUUGUGCCAUGCUGUGCCAACCAUAUCAAGCCACCUGCUGCUUUCCAUUGUCCUCAGUGACCCCCAGACAUUCAAAUUAUGCUAGUUCUGUGGGCACACCAAUCAAGGAAGUAAGAGACCUGUUUCUUGGGCAGCUCUCUGAAAAGCUGGAAUGUUGGAGGCAUGCUCUAUUCUUUUCUCCCAGAGGAAAAAGAUGUGAAGAGGCAUUCUGUCUUGGCACUGAGCUGUGCUAACUUGGGGGAGAGGCUGAUGCAGAUUGACCUUGCUAGGUUAUAGAGGCAUGUUCUAUCGUCUUUAUUAAGGACCAAUGACCUUCUAAGAAGAGGAAGACACACCAGGCAUGCACACGCACAGAAAAGAAGACCAUGUGAGGGCACAGCAAGAAGAUGGCCAUCUGCAAACUAAGAGGAGAGGCCUCAUUAGAACCUAACCCUGCACCAUGAUCAUGGACUUCCAGCCUUCAGAGUUAGGAAAAUAAAAUUCUGUUGUUUAUGCCACCAAAUCUGUGGUAUUCGCUUAUGAAAACCAUAGAAAAUUAUACAAUACCCAACAAGCAAAUAGCAGAAUGGAAUUAAACCCAUAAAGGAUGGCUUCAAAGGCAAUGCUUAACCACUAUACUGCCUUUAAAAAUUGUCCUAACAGUUCAACUUCAAUUACAGAAAGUUUAUAAUAAUUAGAUGUUAAUACUUUUAUGCUUAACUUUAUAUUUCUAUUUCAAAUGCUUAUUUCCUUUUCAAUAGUUAAUAUUUUCUGGACAGCAAUUCUGGACUAUUUUCUAAAUUCUCUGUUUUCUAAAUUCUUAUGUCAUGCCCUCUGUCAUAAGAAUGUUUAUACCCUAUGAUCUUCUAAAAAUAAAUCCUUAAAAGAUGAUAUGGUUUGGCUAUGUGUCCUCACCCAAAUCUCAUGUUAAAUUGUAAUCCCCAUUGUUGGAGGAUGGACCCAGUGGAAGGUAAUUGGAUCGGGGGGUGGAUUUUCCCCUUGCUGUUCUCACUAUAGUGAGUGAGUUCUCAGGAGAUCUGGUUGUUUAAAAGUGUGUAGCACUUCCCUGUUUGCCCACUGUCUCUCUGUCUCCUGCUCUGACAUGGUAAGACAUGUUUGCUUCCCCUUCACCUUCCACCCUGAUUGUAAGUUUCUUGAGGCCUCCCAGCCAUGCUUCCUGUACAGCCUAUCGAGCUGUGAGUCAAUUAAACCUCUUUUCUUUAUAAAUUA
ensembl:lncRNA novel transcript